AACCUGUUUCUGGUCAUGCUGUGAAUCUGCAUUCUUUACUGUGUCCUUGGGAUACUAGGAGGAACCAUAGGAGCAGAUCCUGCUAGGAGGCUAAGCAUGAAGAAGGAAUUCAAAGAAACCUUGUGGAGAACAAAGACACAGCAAGGAGUCUCUGAUCAAGUGCCACAUCUUUAGAGAAGCUUUUCCAAACAACUCUGCAUUCAUCAACCCAUGGAACCACCCCCCUGCCAUGAAAGCUAGCAAGAGGCCAAGACCCACAGAACAACCACCAUCACCCCUCUGUCAGCAGGAAGCAGUUACAAAAGACUAAUCUUUGCCCAUUUUCCCCAAAGAAUUGGG
rnacentral:lncRNA from 1 species